GACGAACGCUGGCGGCGUGCUUAACACAUGCAAGUCGAACGGAAAGUCCCUGCUUUUGUGUUGUGCUCGAGUGGGGAACGGGUGAGUAACACGUGAGUAACCUGCCCUCGACUUUGGGAUAACUUAAGGAAACUUGGGCUAAUACCGGAUAGGAGCUCCUGCUUCAUGGUGGGGGUUGGAAAGGUUCGGCGGUUGGGGAUGGACUCGCGGCUUAGCAGCUUGUUGGUGGGGUAGUGGCUUACGAAGGCUUUGACGGGUAGCCGGCCUGAGAGGGUGACCGGACACAUUGGGACUGAGAUACGGACCAGACGGCUACGGGAGGCAGCGGUGGAGAAUAUUGCACAAUGGGCGGAAGCCUGAUGCAGCAACGCCGCGUGCGGGAUGACGGCUUUCGGGUUGGAAACCGCUUUCGCCUGAGACGAAGCGUGAGUGACGGUAAUGGGUAAAGAAGCCACGGCUAACUACGUG
rnacentral:rRNA from 1 species